GAAAAUCAAGGUGUCAAGAAUCCUUGCCAUUUUUAUGUAUAUGCGAGAAUAGCUUCAGAUUUAAACAACACAAAAAAUAUAACCAAUAAGCAGCUGGGUAUGUAAGCCUGCCAAUAGCAUCACAAUGGACCACCAUUACAAGAAAGAAACAGAAAGACAUGAGUCAAUAACACACAGUAACUGUUUCAAAACAUUGGUGUGUGAAAUCACUGUUCUAUAUUGGGUUUGAAAUGCUUGUCUCUAAACAAUGUAGGCCCACAUGCUAUUGCCGCAAAGGAUACCACAAGUUCACAUGGCAGGCAUGGCAAAUGAAGUAGUUUCCGUUUGACUAUUUCCCAACAUGUCAGAAAUGGUAGCUGAAAUGUGUUUCCAUAUGUUUCCUGUUGUGUUGCGUGUGCACAUACUGUGUUUAGCAUACUUCAACUCAACAAAACAGCAUCUGCCAAGGGACCUGUUGCAGAAUAUAUGCUAUCCACCAUCUGCCAGGGCACCAUCCUAAACAGGAAUAUUUCUUCCUGCCAUACCUUUUGGAACAUUGUAAUAAAAAACAUUGGAUAACACAAUAAAAUUCCGUGAAAUUCCUAGUCUUUGUUGAUCUCCAGUAACUACAACCUUUCCAGCUAACUGUCUUCUUUAUUUCUUUCUGUUAGGCACAUUUCAGAAACCAGUCUAUCAGGAUGCACAUUCAAGACGAAACACAACUCAGCUUGGAGACAUACAUGCAUCAGUUCAACUAUUACCUCAAACUAGUCUUUUCCUAUAUAACACAGUAUAUGCGACUAAGUGUUUAUACCAUUAAAUACUACACAAAAUAGAAUGAGGUAGACAAAUUCAUAUAAUUCUCAAUUCUAAAUACUCGGAACAAAAUAAGUGUUGAAAGUUUGUAGAAAAUGAAGAGGACCACCCCUUGCCCACAACCCACAGUGGCAUAGCCAGGUGGGUGUCCUGGUGUACCUGGGCACACACAGGUUUUGCAAAUGUCAGUGGAUAUUAGCUCUUUACAUGGCAUAAAUCAUGUACGGUCUAAAUGUCUAAUACUCCUGGACACCAGUGCACACCGAAUUGAAAAUUUCUAGCUACACCACUGCUUGCCCAUGAAAAUAAACCAGAUAAAAAUUAUGGUAGUGCAAGCCCAGAUGGUUAGAUAAACCUGUCACAUCCUCGAAAUUGAUAUCUCCAAAGAUAAGGAUUACAGUAUGGAACAGUGAAUAAAAAGAGAAAAAAAAGUACCAGGAUACAAUAACCAUUAGUUUUGUAGCAGAAGGGUUCAAAAAUAGGUAUGUCCAAGUGACAUGCAUCUGAAUAUCAAGGUAUUCUUAGGUGAGCGAAGUUGUAGCUUAUAUUCUACUUGGGAGCAUUUAAGAGUCUGUAGCAGGUGGUAUUUCAAGAGCAUCUCUUUUCCUUUCUUUUCGGAGAAAAUAGUCACUCUGAUAUUUCAAGUCUGAAGUAUUAAUUAUUAUUCCAUAUAAAAGAGGAAGAUGUAAAUUUAGUUUUAAGUCAUGCAUUCUUAGUUAUUACAUAUGGAGAUAAUGAUGCAGUAAAACAACACCUAAUCUGGGAUCAAGGCUUCUAUAAAACAUCCAAACACAAAAAACCUACUUGAAUUCCUUUCCAUUUUGCAUAUGCACCCUCAAACAAGCAAAACCUAAAAUAUGUAGCAAAGAUGUUGUUUUCUUUGAAUGUCGUUUUGCUCAUGCUGUGUGGUCUGUUAUAUAUGCGGCGUCAGGUUUAUCUCAGCCUCGUAGUGUUUCUAACAUGUUUGGAAGUUGGCUACGGGGUAUUGGAAAAGACCUAAAGCUGCUAGUUCUGCUAGGAGCGGCUGCUACAUGUUAGUCGUUAUGGCUAUGCAGAAAUGAUAUAAUCUUUGGGAAAAAAUAUAACUCUUCUCCCUUGCAGGUUAUUUUCUUGAUUAUACACUGGCUCCGCACGUGGGUUAUAUUACAGAAGCCAGCUUCACAGGACUUGGUUGUUGCGGCAUCACUACGACUGGCGCAGGUGGCCAAGGAGUUUUUUACCCAGGCACAUGGGUGGCGGUCUAGUUUGAGGAUUGACUGUCAAUAGAGUGUUUGUGUUAUGUCCUGUAUUUUCUUUUUUAGGCUGUGUGCAUCCCGCUAUGCAGAGGUCGGGAGUGUUUUAAAGCAUUGUAUCCACUCGAUGUAAUGUUCUUGAAAUUAAUAAAAGUUCCAUUAUCCAAAAAAAAUGUAGCAAAGAUGUCAAUGAAGAUAAUUCCUGGAUAGCAUCGUAUGACCAAACCCAUUAAAAUACAAUGCCCAGUAUCAAAAUAUGGAAUUUUGUGGCCCAUGCUUUUGUUAUGUUAAAAAAUAAAACAGAAAACUAUUAAGCAGAAUAAACAGUGAGUAUAAAUCAAGCAAAAUUGAUGGGAUCAGUAGGUCAACUUACGG
rnacentral:lncRNA from 1 species